rnacentral:rRNA from 1 species
GACGAACGCUGGCGGCGUGCCUAAUACAUGCAAGUCGAGCGGACCGGAUUGGGGCUUGCCUUGAUUCGGUCAGCGGCGGACGGGUGAGUAACACGUGGGCAACCUGCCCGCAAGACCGGGAUAACUCCGGGAAACCGGAGCUAAUACCGGAUAACACCGAAGACCGCAUGGUCUUCGGUUGAAAGGCGGCCUUUGGGCUGUCACUUGCGGAUGGGCCCGCGGCGCAUUAGCUAGUUGGUGAGGUAACGGCUCACCAAGGCGACGAUGCGUAGCCGGCCUGAGAGGGUGACCGGCCACACUGGGACUGAGACACGGCCCAGACUCCUACGGGAGGCAGCAGUAGGGAAUCUUCCGCAAUGGGCGAAAGCCUGACGGAGCGACGCCGCGGGAGCGAAGAAGGCCUUCGGGUCGUAAAGCUCUGUUGUGAGGGACGAAGGAGCGUCGUUCGAAGAGGGCGGCGCGGUGACGGUACCUCACGAGAAAGCCCCGGCUAACUACGUG